GAUGAACGCUGGCGGCGUGGCUUAACACAUGCAAGUCGAACGAAGCACCUUGAUUUGAUUCUUCGGAUUGAAGCAAUUGUGACUGAGCGGCGGACGGGUGAGUAACGCGUGGGUAACCUGCCUCAUACAGGGGGAUAACAGUUGGAAACGGCUGCUAAUACCACAUAAGCGCACAGUACCGCAUGGUACCGUGUGAAAAACUCCGGUGGUAUGAGAUGGACCCGCGUCUGGUUAGCUAGUUGGUGGGGUAACGGCCUACCAAGGCAACGAUCAGUAGCCGACCUGAGAGGGUGACCGGCCACAUUGGGACUGAGACAUGGCCCAA
rnacentral:rRNA from 1 species